rnacentral:rRNA from 1 species
AUUGAACGCUGGCGGCAGGCCUAACACAUGCAAGUCGAGCGGCAGCGGGAAAGUAGCUUGCUACUUUUGCCGGCGAGCGGCGGACGGGUGAGUAAUGCCUGGGAAAUUGCCCAGUCGAGGGGGAUAACAGUUGGAAACGACUGCUAAUACCGCAUACGCCCUACGGGGGAAAGCAGGGGACCUUCGGGCCUUGCGCGAUUGGAUAUGCCCAGGUGGGAUUAGCUAGUUGGUGAGGUAAUGGCUCACCAAGGCGACGAUCCCUAGCUGGUCUGAGAGGAUGAUCAGCCACACUGAAACUGGGACACGGUCCAGACUCCUACGGGAGGCAGCAGUGGGGAAUAUUGCACAAUGGGGGAAACCCUGAUGCAGCCAUGCCGCGUGUGUGAAGAAGGCCUUCGGGUUGUAAAGCACUUUCAGCGAGGAGGAAAGGUCAGUAGCUAAUAUCUGCUGGCUGUGACGUUGCUCGCAGAAGAAGCACCGGCUAACUCCGUGCCAGCCGCCGCUGUAAGAC